GUAUAUAUAGUUUAAAUAAAACACUAGGCUGUGACCCUAAAAAUGAAAGUUGGACCCUUUCUAUAAACC
rnacentral:tRNA from 1 species